CGUGGUUGAAGUUGUAGAUUUAUACUUGAAAUUUCAAUAUUUUUCGAACGAGAAAUGUUUCGCUUUAUUAUGUUAAAUUUUUUACUUUGUUCGCCAUUCUUGCUUAUUUACAAAUACAAAUAGUCCAUUUCUUCUUUUUCUCUUUUCAAAAUAGCCCAGAAUUUGGCUUAAAAAAGUAUUUUCAUGCAAAAACCAGCAUUUAACUUUUGUAUACACUCCUUGUGAUAGCAGCCAUGUUGCCAAAAUAUCACCCG